CACCCGCUCCAAUUACACUGCCUUCCCCGAUAGUAACACCUGGGAGAACUAUAACUCCCAUACCAAUCCAAACAUUGUCCUGAAUCUUGAUAAAAUUUUGUUUGUUAGUUGUAAGAUGUUUCAAUAACUGGACUAACGCAUACGUUAAUUGGUAAACCAAAUUCAAUUCCGGAGUUCCUUGCUUUAAAAUCCAAGGGAUGUGUUGCUGUACAUAGUUGAACCUGGAAAGACACCAUUAGUAUAUUUAUUUUUUGAAUGAAUGACUU